GACAGAGGGGGCAAGCGUUGCUCGGAAUCACUGGGCGUAAAGGGCGCGUAGGCGGGAUGGCAAGUCGGUCGUGAAAUCCCUGGGCUCAACUGCAGGGGGUCGGCCGAUACUGCCAUUCUUGAGGAUGCAGAGGAGACUGGAAUUCCCGGUGUAGCGGUGAAAUGCGCAGAUAUCGGGAGGAACACCUAUGGCGAAGGCAGCUCGCUGGGACGUUACUGACGCUGAGACGCGAAAGCGUGGGGAGCAAACAGG
rnacentral:rRNA from 1 species